AAACACCUUUUUCAAAUUCUACAAUACUUUAUUAAGACAAAUACCAGGCACUAUUCUUAAGAAAACACUCACUAACUUUUCCAAUUAACUAAGCCAUGCACAAGACUUCACUUCAACAAUUCCCCACCUACAAACCUAGAUAAACCAUCACACAAUCACUUUCACAAACACAACACGAAAUGCUUCAAAUAACCAUGAUAUCCAUCAAAAG
rnacentral:lncRNA from 1 species